rnacentral:snoRNA from 1 species
GUGUUUUUCAUGGUUACCAUAAGCACGGUGAUCACCGUGAUUUCCGAGAAAAAAUGACCAGAUGGAACCUCCCCCACGAAGUAACAGGUUCAAUAGAGAGAUAUGAUAGGAGGACCACUUUCCAUAUGGAGGGUGGGGACGCAUAU